CGACCCCAGGUCAGACGGGACUACCCGCUG
rnacentral:ncRNA from 2 species